rnacentral:rRNA from 1 species
UGCGUAACGCGUAUGCAACCUACCAUCAACAGGGGGAUAACACUGAGAAAUUGGUACUAAUACCCCAUAAUAUCUCAUGCGGCAUCGCAUGGGGUUGAAAACUCCGGUGGUUGAUGAUGGGCAUGCGUUGUAUUAGCUGGUUGGUGAGGUAACGGCUCACCAAGGCGACGAUACAUAGGGGGACUGAGAGGUCAACCCCCCACAUUGGUACUGAGACACGGACCAAACUCCUACGGAAGGCAGCAG